rnacentral:rRNA from 1 species
CGCAACGAGCGCAACCCUUAUCCUUUGUUGCCAGCGGUCCGGCCGGGAACUCAAAGGAGACUGCCAGUGAUAAACUGGAGGAAGGUGGGGAUGACGUCAAGUCAUCAUGGCCCUUACGACCAGGGCUACACACGUGCUACAAUGGCAUAUACAAAGAGAAGCGACCUCGCGAGAGCAAGCGGACCUCAUAAAGUAUGUCGUAGUCCGGAUUGGAGUCUGCAACUCGACUCCAUGAAGUCGGAAUCGCUAGUAAUCGUAGAUCAGAAUGCUACGGUGAAUACGUUCCCGGGCCUUGUACACACCGCCCGUCACACCAUGGGAGUGGGUUGCAAAAGAAGUAGGUAGCUUAACCUUCGGGAGGGCGCUUACCACUUUGUGAUUCAUGACUGGGGUGAAGUCGUAACAAGGUAACCGUAGGGGAACCUGCGGUUGGAUCACCUCCUUACCUUAAAGAA